AUAUCAAUAAGCGGAGGAAAAGAAACCAACAGGGAUUGCCCCAGUAACGGCGAGUGAAGCGGCAAAAGCUCAAAUUUGAAAUCCUGCGGGAAUUGUAAUUUGAAGGUUUCGUGGUCUGAGUCGGCCGCGCCCAAGUCCAUUGGAACAUGGCGCCUGGGAGGGUGAGAGCCCCGUAUGGCGCACGCCGACUCUUUGCACCGCGGCUCCGACGAGUCGAGUUGUUUGGGAAUGCAGCUCUAAGUGGGUGGUAAAUUCCAUCUAAAGCUAAAUAUUGGCGAGAGACCGAUAGCGAACAAGUACAGUGAUGGAAAGAUGAAAAGCACUUUGAAAAGAGAGUGAAACAGCACGUGAAAUUGUUGAAAGGGAAGGGCUUGCAAGCAGACACGGUUUUACCGGGCCAGCGUCGAAAAGGGGGGAGGAACAAGAACUCGAGAAUGUGGCGCGCACCUUCGGGCGCGCGUGUUAUAGCUCGUGUUGACGCCUCCAUCCCUUUUCGAGGCCUGCGAUUCUAGGACGCUGGCGUAAUGGUUGCAAGCCGCCCGUCUUGAACCACGGA
rnacentral:rRNA from 1 species